rnacentral:rRNA from 1 species
GAUGAACGCUGACGGAAUGCUUAACACAUGCAAGUCAACUUGAACUUCGGUUUGGGUGGCGGACGGGUGAGUAACGCGUAAAGAACUUGCCUCACAGAUAGGGACAACAUUUGGAAACGAAUGCUAAUACCUGAUAUUAUGAUUAUAUGGCAUCGUAUAAUUAUGAAAGCUAUAUGCGCUGUGAGAGAGCUUUGCGUCCCAUUAGCUAGUUGGAGGGGUAACGGCUCACCAAGGCGAUGAUGGGUAGCCGGCCUGAGAGGGUGAUCGGCCACAAGGGGACUGAGACACGGCCCUUACUCCUACGGGAGGCAGCAGUGGGGAAUAUUGGACAAUGGACCAAGAGUCUGAUCCAGCAAUUCUGUGUGCACGAUGAAGUUUUUCGGAAUGUAAAGUGCUUUCAGUUGGGAAGAAAAAAAUGACGGUACCAACAGAAGAAGUGACGGCUAAAUACGUG